rnacentral:misc_RNA from 1 species
UACGGAGGGUGCGAGCGUUAAUCGGAAUUACUGGGCGUAAAGCGCGCGUGGGCGGCGUGACAAGCCGGUUGUGAAAGCCCCGGGCUCAACCUGGGAACGGCAUCCGGAACUGGCAGGCUAGAGUGCAGGAGAGGGAGGUAGAAUUCCCGGUGUAGCGGUGAAAUGCGUAGAGAUCGGGAGGAAUACCAGUGGCGAAGGCGGCCUUCUGGACUGACACUGACGCUGAGGUGCGGAAGCUUGGGUAGCAAACAGG